UGGGGAAUAUUGGACAAUGGGCGAAAGCCUGAUCCAGCCAUGCCGCGUGGAUGAAGAAGGCCCUAGGGUUGUAAAGUCCUUUCGCCGCUGAAGAUAAUGACGGUAAGCGGAGAAGAAGCCCCGGCUAAUUUCGUGCCAGCAGCCGCGGUAAUACGAAAGGGGCUAGCGUUGUUCGGAAUUACUGGGCGUAAAGCGCACGUAGGCGGUUUGCUAAGUUGGGGGUGAAAUCCCGGGGCUCAACCCCGGAACUGCCUCCAAAACUGGCAGGCUAGAGGCUGUGAGAGGUGAGCGGAAUUCCGAGUGUAGAGGUGAAAUUCGUAGAUAUUCGGAAGAACACCAGUGGCGAAGGCGGCUCACUGGCACAGUACUGACGCUGAGGUGCGAAAGCGUGGGGAGCAAACAGGAUUAGAUACCCCUGUAGUCC
rnacentral:rRNA from 1 species